rnacentral:rRNA from 1 species
CCUACGGGAGACAGCAGUGAGGAAUAUUGGUCAAUGGACGAGAGUCUGAACCAGCCAAGUCGCGUGAAGGAUGACUGCCCUAUGGGUUGUAACCUUCUUUUAUAUGGGAAUAAAAUGUUCCACGUGUGGGAUUUUGUAUGUCCCAUAUGAAUACGGAUCGGCUAACUCCGUGCCAGCAGCCGCGGUUAUACGGAGGAUCCGAGCGUUAUCCGGAUUUAUUGGGUUUAAAGGGAGCGUAGGUGGAUUGUUAAGUCAGUUGUGAAAGUUUGCGGCUCAACCGUAAAAUUGCAUUUGAAACUGGCAGUCUCGAGUACAGUAGAGGUGGGCGGAAUUCGUGGUGUAGCGGUGAAAUGCUUAGAUAUCACGAAGAACUCCGAUUGCGAAGGCAGCUCACUGGACUGCAACUGACACUGAGGCUCGAAAGUGUGGGUAUCAAACAGGAUUAGAUACCCCUGUAGUC